UUUAUGUAUUCACAGAAUCGAAUUUUAAUCUGGACAUUCAUAUCACAACACAAACAACACACUCAAAUCUUCUUCAUCUUCUUCUUCUUUCUAGUGUCUCUGGUCUCCCUCUGUUUCUGUGAAUCUGAGUCACCCACGCAUCUUUCUCUGUGCAGUAUUUGAGUAUACAAGAAGUUGCAUGGCAGUGCAAGGUUAUUUUGUCAUCAAAGGUUGUCCAGACAAGGCACGAAUCCUUGGACCAAUCUAUAUUGUUACCUUGUUGUCUAACUGGGGUACUUUUUAUUCUUUACAUUGCUUGGCCAAAUGACAGCUUUAAAUAAGCUAGACUAGGUUUAGUAGGUGUUUAGUAAUCUAUAGUUGGCAUGGUUGAACAGAGAGUGAAUAGGAUUAUAUUUCCCCAACGAGAAAAAUAGUAUUAAUAGUUUCUUCUGGUUGUCAAAGAUGAGAGUAAAAAUUAGAUUAAUUCUUUGAAAAAAAAAGUUAAUUAUUGACCUUGUUUCAUGAUUCAUUGACUUUUAACAUAUUGUGCUUCUUAUGAAUGUAAUCUAAUCAUAAGUUGUCUGACUUGGGGACUCCUGAAAUAUUGAAAUUUUAAGCUGUUUUUCCUUA